AUACUUACCUGGAUGUGGUAAAUGGUUGAUCAUGAAGGACCGUGGCCUAGGAGAGUGACCUUCAUUGCACUUAGGAAGGGUGCUAUCCUAAGGUAUACCCAAGUGGUGGAACUUUGUAGUUUCUUUUGAUUUCUACAUGUUUUAGGAGAUGGUGAAA